rnacentral:rRNA from 1 species
UACGGAAGGCAGCAGGGGGGAAUAUUGCACAAUGGGCGCAAGCCUGAUGCAGCCAUGCCGCGUGUAUGAAAAAGGCCUUCGGGUUGUAAAGUACUUUCAGUCGUGAGGAAGGUGUUAAGGUUAAUAACCUUAGCAAUUGACGUUAGCGACAGAAGAAGCACCGGCUAACUCCGUGCCAGCAGCCGCGGUAAUACGGAGGGUGCGAGCGUUAAUCGGAAUUACUGGGCGUAAAGGGCACGCAGGCGGUUAAAUUAAGUUGGACGUGAAAUCCCCGGGCUUAACCUGGGAAUGGCAUUCAAGACUGGUUAGCUAGAGUCUUGUAGAGGGGGUAGAAUUCCAUGUGUAGCGGUGAAAUGCGUAGAGAUGUGGAGGAAUACCGGUGGCGAAGGCGGCCCCUGGGACAAAGACUGACGCUCAUGUGCGAAAGCGUGGGGAGCAAACGAGGAUUAGAUACC